CCUACGGGAGGCAGCAGUGGGGAAUAUUGCACAAUGGGCGAAAGCCUGAUGCAGCAAAGCCGCGUGAGGGAUGAAGGCCCUCGGGUCGGAAAGCUCUGUCCUCCAGGAAGAAAAUGACGGUACGUGUGGAGGAAGCCGCGUCUAACAACGUGCCACCAGCCGCGGUAAUACGUAGGGGGCUAGCGUUAUCCGGAUUUACUGGGCGUAAAGGGGGCGUAGGUGGUUUCGUAAGUCAGAGGUGAAAGGCUACGGCUCAACCGUAGUCAGCCUUUGAAACUGGGGAACUUGAGUGCAGGAGAGGAGAGUGGAAUUCCUGGUGUAGCGGUGAAAUGCGUAGAUAUUAGGCGGAACACCAGUUGCGAAGGCGGCACUCCGGACUGUAACUGACGCUGAGGCACGAAAGCGUGGGGAGCAAACAGGAUUAGAUACCCCGGUAGUC
rnacentral:rRNA from 1 species